CUAGCAUUACACGAUUGCAACUAUGGCAAAGGCGGUGAAGACUCCAUUAACACUUGACUUCGUUCAAGCCAUAGGCAAAGUACAGGAAGGUUGGAUCAGUGGCACCAUCCUUAUAGUAUGCAAACACCAGGCUACCAUCAUCAUGCAUGCUCUCACCCACAAAACUGCAACACAAUUACUCAAAUCGUAAGAAACAAUAAUGGAUUCUAAAUCAAGUUUAAUUACAGAUAAUCGGAGUAAGAUAGACAAGAGUUGCAUUACAAUUGGAAAUCUUUAAUCUUCGAAAGCAAAUACUUGGUUGCUCCCUCUAUGUUCUUCUUGAACGACUCUUGCUUCUCUGGCUCUAAUUUGGGUGUCAAGUUCUUGAUGUACCUCUUCAUGAAGGUAACAAACUGUUUCUUGUCAAAAGCAGGUUGCUCCUGCAAAUCACACCACCCGCAAAUUUUAGAUGAUAGCAUCAAAAUAAUUAAGCUGUAAAUCAUGGAAAGCAUGUGUUGUUGAUUUACCUGAAGUCUGAAAGUGUCGACAAUGUCGACAACCUUAACGGCCUGGUCAUCAACACCUUCAUCUUCAUCACCACCUUCUGCUGAAGGGUUAGCCCCAAUGUCUACAUUGACAGCUCCUUGGACAACCCACUGCAAAUCAAUCCGAAUAUGUUAGUUUAACUCGUGAAAACUAGGAGUGAGCAAUUAAUCAGUUUGGUGGAUUUAAUUUGAAAAAAUUAAUAAUCGAACUAAUCAACUUUCAUUUAAUAGUAAUCGAACUGAUAGAAAAUUUUUAAAUAACGGAUUAUAAUUGAUCCAAAAUUUUUAAAUAAUUGAUCACAACUGAUCCGACCAUAACCGAUUCGAUCGGUUCAUUUAUUAAUUUUAUGAUCCUAAAACCGAUUGAUUUAACCAUAACCAAUUUAGUUGAUCUAAAAAAUCCACUAUAACCAAAUCGGAUAAACCAAACUGAAUUGAUAUUUUUCAUCGGUUUCAAUCGCUUAAAUCGGUUUGAACCGAUUUUUGCUCACCUCUGGUGAAAACAUGACAAACAAAGACAGAUCAUGUUUGUUUCAAUAAACCCACAAUUGAAAACACAAGAAAAUAAAGAAGGAAAGACUCCGACCUUUCCUUCUACUUCCCAUAACAUUCCAUUCUCGAUUUCCUUGUAUGGGAAAGAGUCUGAGAGGAGCUCAUCACCUGAAACUCAUCAACAAGAACUUAAAAUUUGAUAACUAACAAUCAAAUCAAAAAUCAAAAAUCAAAACAUCAACCAAACAAAAAGAAACCCAAAAUUUCAAGAUACAUAAAUACAAUUAAAAGAAAAAUAAAUUCAAUAAGCAAAAGGACAAAACAUACAGAUCUUGGAACCAAUAAGCACAGCAGCAAAGAGAUCAAUUGAAGACGAAAAAAAUUUUAAAAAAAUUUACCUGUGAGGAUAUCCUGAUAAACUAACAUAUUUGCUGAAUAUUAAAUUAUUAAUUGAUUAUUUUCUCUCUGUUUUUGAACUUAAAUUUCGAUUUCUAUGAUUUAUUGAAGAGAGAGAACCAGAGAG
rnacentral:lncRNA from 1 species